rnacentral:rRNA from 1 species
UACGUAGGGUGCGAGCGUUGUCCGGAAUUAUUGGGCGUAAAGAGCUUGUAGGCGGUUUGUCGCGUCUGCUGUGAAAAUCCGGGGCUCAACCCCGGACUUGCAGUGGGUACGGGCAGACUAGAGUGUGGUAGGGGAGACUGGAAUUCCUGGUGUAGCGGUGGAAUGCGCAGAUAUCAGGAGGAACACCGAUGGCGAAGGCAGGUCGCUGGGCCGCUACUGACGCUGAGACGCGAAAGCGUGGGGAGCAAACAGG